rnacentral:rRNA from 1 species
UACGAGGGGGGCAAGCGUUAAUCGGAAUUACUGGGCGUAAAGCGUGCGCAGGCGGUUAUGUAAGACAGAUGUGAAAUGCCCGGGCUUAACCUGGGAACUGCAUUUGUGACUGCAUGGCUAGAGUGUGUCAGAGGGGGGUAGAAUUCCACGUGUAGCAGUGAAAUGCGUAGAGAUGUGGAGGAAUACCGAUGGCGAAGACAGCCCCCUGGACCAAUACUGACUCUCAUGCACGAAAUCGUACUGAUCAAACAGG